UUGAUGGGAAGAUAUUAUUUAACUAUCCAAAAUAUUAUUUAAUUAUUUUCAGAAUUAUUUUCUUUCAAUGUUUAUUCAAAUAGAACUUAAACCCAUCUCAGAAUUUUUAAAUGCUUGAUGACGUCACAUUUAAAACGUGGCAACAUUGGUUUCCCCACUUUGACAGCCAAUGCUUAGUAGAGGGGUACGAAGGAUUCAGCUGUGAACGUGAGCCUUGGAUUGCCAUUGUUUCUCGAGUGUUCGGUCUGAAUCGUAGUGUGCGGGGUCAUUAGACUCAAUUAUUCACCUCUAAUUCUCAGUUCCAAAUUGAUUAAAUAUUACAAUAAAAGUAUAGUGAAGUUAUCCAGCAGCAGUGGAUUUGAAGAAUUUUAGAGCAUACUAUAUCCAAUGAGUUCUACCCCGCACCUACCAUGAAAUCUUAAAGCCACCCUACAACAACACCAAGGCCAGACCACACAGAGAGAAACAAUCAAUAGGCGACCAGCCUGGAUUAUUUCCACAUUUUCUUUUUUUGAGUACCUCCAGCUGCUUUCCAACAGUUUUGAGUACCUUCAGCUGCUUUCUACUAGUCUUCCUCUCCUGUACCUCCAGCAGGACAGCUGCUAGCGAGAGUUAGCACCCUUGGGUGCUCAUUACAUCAACUUCAAGAUUAGGAAAGAGUGGUUUGUUUGGGAACAUUUACUGUGCUCUUAUUAAAGACAGACUGGUUUUGUGAUAUUUAGUACAUUUUUUUUUAUAGUUCAAUUGCACACACAUUUUUCCUGCUUUAUAUUUUUUAUAGGUUUUUUUUUCUUUACAACAUAAUAUUUAAUUGAUAGCAUUCCCCAACACUCUGCAAUCUAUAAAGGUAUAAAUUUCUGAGCUCAGAUAUUUUCCCUGAUAAUAGUAGUCGGUACUCUUAUCUUGAUUAUUUUUAGGCUGUGUUCCACUUUUGUAUAAUUAUUUAAACUCAUUCCAUUAUUUUAGUAUAUGUUUAAUUAAAUUUUUAAAAAUUAACUUCACAUAUUAGUCAAAAUUGUAAUUAUUAACUUUAUUUAACUUGAACUUAUUAACUUUACUUAACUUUAACUUAUUAACUUUAUUUAACUUUAACUUUAAUUUAUUAAAUUCAUAUGAACUUCUGGAUUCUAAUCCCUCAGAUUAGUUUUUGGUUUCACUUGUUAUUAUUACUAUUAUAAACCACGAGUUAGGAAAAGGAUCUGUGUAUCCACUCGUAGGUUUAUUUAUUCAAUAAGGCUUGUGCCUGUCCCACUCACAGUGAGGUAUUUAUAUGUUAUAUAUAGUAUCAGGUAGUAUUUAAUUAAGGUGUACGUAUUAUAAACGUACAAUUAUUAUUUGGUGAGGGUUCUACUAACCUAGUUGUAAGUUGUACUUCCUGUAUUAGAGGUACCCGUAGUCAGUUUUUCUAACCUUAUAAAGAGUAUUCUUAGAUCAUAGUUGUAUGAUGAUUUUGUAAUUGACUUUCACUAGUAUCACUUUUUCCUGUCAUGUUAGAGUUACACACUAGUUACUUGUCCUAACUCAGAGAUUGUUAAAAAGAUCUAGUAGUUACAUUCAAUAAAUAUACAUUUAUUGUGA
rnacentral:lncRNA from 1 species